GCUCGGGGCUUGCAUCGGCACGCCCGCCAGCACGACAAGUAAGCAAUGGGGCGGACACUCACAAAGCAGCAACCACCCUUACUUGCCAGGCCACACCGUAAGAGUAGGCAAUGGGGCGGCCACAGUCAAAGCAGCACUCGCUCCAACUGGCCAGGCCACACUGUAAGAGUUGGCAAUGGGGCGGCCACUCUGUAAGCAGCACUAGCUCUAACUGUCCAGGCCAUACAGAAAAUACAUUGGGGCGGCCACUGUCAAAGCAUAUGCAACUUCUCCGUGCCUCUCUGCCUAGCGGAGUAGGCAGGGAACAGAACCAAGUCAGGCGCAGAUGGAAGUAAAAAUUAUUGCGACAACACAACACAGUUAUUUGGUAACACUAAUCUAGAUGAUACUACUGCAAUGAACCUUUUCUAAUCCUAUCAAUCCAUGUUUGAACUGAGUUUGACAACAGUUUCUUCAAACAGAAUCGCCCUUGCAAUAGCGCUGAGAUUGAAAUGCUGCCCGUUAGAAGGGUGUGGCUGAAUUGAUGAAGCUUGACUCUGAUACACGGAAAGACGUACUGACAUUCAAACAGCCUUACUUAUGAGGUGAUGGUGAACUUUCCUUGAACACGGAGACACUGGAUAUGAGGAACCCGAUGAAGAGAAUUGUCUUGGUCCGCAGUCUUUACGCAGAAGAUGUGAGGUUGCUUCCAUCCGUGGUGGGCUGCUGCGUGUUGAUGAAGUCGUUCCUCCUGUUCAGGCCAGGCAGUAUCUUCCAUUCCAGUCGACCACCAUUCGAUUCCACACUUUAACUCCUGGAACCAUAACCACAAAAAUCAGUAUCAUCCCUGCCGGUGCAUGAACUUCAAAAACUGUAUUGGGACUGUAAUACCUGUAGGUGAGUAGAGGUAUGUUGGCGAGCAAUCAUUCACAAAGACUUGUCAAAUUCCUUCAUUCAUCCUUGACCUAUCAGCAUAAUCAUAAACGCGUAACAUUUCCUGGAAACAAAACAAGGCUAAUGAAGUGGUGACUCACUUUAACUAUCCGUGUGCACACAAGUGCUAUCAGAGACUCACCAAUUGGCCAUAACAUUUGGAUCUGCAUUGUACAGGUGUAAAGGGCAGCCUUCCUUGUUCAACAACCAAGUCCAAACACCAGGGCCCACUGCAAAACAAAUAAUUCUUUUUAUAGGUACAGCAACAUGAUUGAUGGAGUUUCUCAAAGGUGGAAGAGAAACGGCUGCAAACGUCCAAUAACUCAUAAAGUGUGCGUGCUCCCUUAAAAAGGGUCAUGAUGCAAGAUAAAUAGAAGAAGUAAGCACACUUAUACAGAGAGGUUAUGCGGUUCAAGGAUCGACCCGGACAUAACCCAACUAAUGGAAGUUUUACAUCAAGUACAGAAAGAGGGCAAUUUCAAGGCAAUUCAAGGAUAAAUUCAUUUACAAACAUAUGAAAAGGUGGAGAGAAUUGCUAUGAGACUCACCUGCGAGGGACAGCCGUUGGGACCGGAGCACCAUAAUUGAAGGCGGAAAAACGGUUCAUUCGGCGUAACUCAUCAUGCUGCUCAUUUCACCAGCGGUUUUGAGGAAGAAGUCAUGGCAGCAUUAAACGGUCAGCAGCCCGGGAACCUCGUGCGAGAGCACUGGAGAGGAACAACACCUUCUUAUUUUGAAACUGGAGUCCACCACGACACUGCAGAAUUCCAGGAUAACGCCCUACCCUAGGUGUUUCCGAACCUGUUGAUGAUGCAGUCCGCCCACCGUUCCCCUGUUGCCCAUGCUCCUGGACUCCGUUCACUCGACUUGUCUUGAGGGCUUUGUUCGAUUUCCUUCAUGAAGCCAACUUGCCUGUUUUGGAAGAUCCUUACUCCAUGGAAAUGGAUCAUCUUUCAUUGCAGCUAUCACAAGUGCAUCUCCAGUGCUUGCAUUAGGAGCUGCUGACCUGAAAUUUCUGUCGCUGUUCAUCCACAAAAGAAAACUGCUCCCUGGGACAACUUCCUUUAUGAAUGCUAGUUCAUUUUUCCUUCGUCUUGUCAUCCCUCCAAAUUUCAAAGCCUCCAUAGUGAGAAAAGAGAGAGAUCGAAUUUGCCAUUCAUUGUACACAUUUACACCAAAGUAGUUCUCUUUCCUCUGAGCUCUCUCUCUGUCUCUCUUUUUGUUUUUUUUUUUUUUUUGUAUUGAGGAAUAUAGUUUCCUUGUGGCUUGAGUAAGGCUUUAAUGGCCUAGUGAACCUUUGUACUGUGAUGACUCUGGUUUGGCUUGUUUGCAUGAGUGAUUCACUGAUUGCUCAGUAUUCUGCAAUAUUUGAUAAAAGAUAUGCGAUUGGAAUGAUAAGCCGGCACCAAAAAUAAUUGUCCCUGGGAGUGCACUGCAAGUUCAACUUCUACUUUUCUUUUAUUUGAUUGAAUCCCCAAAUCUGUAACUGUUGUGUACCAAUGGAUCUCCUGGAAGUAUUGGAACUGCAUCACGUUGAAGAUC